GAUCCGUGACCUACUUAUGCCCU
rnacentral:rRNA from 1 species